rnacentral:rRNA from 1 species
UACGUAGGAUGCAAGCGUUGUCCGGAAUUAUUGGGCGUAAAGCGAACGUAGGCGGUUUCUUAAGAUUGGUCUUAAAGACCGGGGCUCAACCCCGGGAAUGGAUCGAUAACUGGGAGACUGGAGGACGUCAGAGGAAAGUGGAAUUCCGAGUGUAGCGGUGAAAUGCGUAGAUAUUCGGAGGAACACCAGUGGCGAAAGCGACUUUCUGGGACGUUCCGACGCUGAGGUUCGAAAGCUCGGGGAGCAAACAGG